AAAUGAAAAAAGAUAGGAAAAAUUUACUGAAGUAAUUGAAACUAAAAUCAUAUUUAUCAAUUAAGAUAAUAAUCAAAAGAAAUAUAUAAUAAAAUAUAUAAUAAAAAUAUAUAAUAUAAGUAGCAAAUGUUGACAUAAAAGCGUUCACGGAAUUGCCCUUCGUUUCUAUUAAUAAUACUGAAGCGUUUCACAAGAGCGAGUAAUUGUGACAAGAUUUUUGCCGGCAACGAGUAUCCAAUAGUAUCCAAUAGUAUCGGCCACGAAUCGGAUGCAUUUGAUCCCCAGCAUGAUUCGUACACGAUCGCAGUCUCUUCGCGAGAAAGAUGUAUACUAUACGGGUAAAAAUUAUCGAUACCGCUUGGGCAUCAUUCGCAUCGCUAGAUUCUCUAUCCGAUUCACGAUCUUUCUAAAUCCGCCUUAAGAAAACCGCAUGAGUAUGAGCGAGACGGUAAAACCGGCGUGUAAUAUGAAAAUGAGAAAGAAAAGCUCGGAUAGUCUUGGAACCCGCGAGGCGAGCAUAUACACGAGAGAAGGGACAGAAAGAGGCAAUGCGAAGAAAGAAAGAGAAAGAUUGUCUUGCCCGGAGGGCGGAGCGGUGUGGAGGAGAGCAACGGGAAACGACGGAGCGAAGAGAAGGAGAAAUAUAGAAAGAGAGAAAGAGAUAGAAUGAAAAGGAAAAAGGUAAGAGUAGAGAAAGAAAAGAAGGAAGAAGAUGGACUUACGUAGAGAAGAUAGAAAAGGGGCAAAGGAAAGGAAGGAGAGUGGGAUGCUGCGAGAGAAGUAAGAGAGUAGAAUGUGCAGGCGAGAGUGGACGGACGGCAUACCACCACUACCGCUCCUUACCCCCCCUCGUUCCUUUCCUUCUUUCCUUCUCUGUUUCGCAGCGUGUCUUUUAUUAACCAAGGCCCGCUUCCCUGAGGCCACUUCUCUCCGCUGUCUUUUCUCUCUUUCUAUCAUUCUCUUUUCCCUCCCGCUCACCCGUCCGACCGAUCCCUCGGUCCCUCUCUAUUUCUCUUUCGCCGGAUCCGUGGCGGUUCUCUCGUGAGCCAGGGAGAGGUGCAGCGUCGAGAGCUCGCGAAAUGCCAGUGAUUCGACGCGACUUCGACUACGCGCACUACGAGAGUUUUUCUCCUUACGAGACGAGGGGAUCGUGUGCUUCGACUGAUGCUCGUUCCUCUGCCCUCCGCGAUAAGGGUAGACACGCGUCGCGACGCUCUGCGCCUUGACGAUUGGUCAGCCAUGCUUUCGAGGCCGGUAUGUGACGUGACGUUGCCGUUUCAGCGUAAUAUCAAUAACUUUGUGAUAUUGAAGAAAAAAACGAAAUUGAAGAAUCAUCUUUCUUGGAAUCGAUAUAUAAUGAUAGUGUGUAUAAUAAUUAGAUUUGUGGUUUGAAAUUUUGUAUAUGUUUGUAAAAUAAAAUUCAGUGAUUGUUCAGUGUUUAUAAUAUUUCUUCAAAUGAGAAUUGAUUGGUGAUUCAUUUUAAUAUAAAAUAAUAAAUAUAUAUAUAUAUAUAUUUGACAACAACGUAUAUGGCGAAGGAAAGGAUGAAAUCAAUGUCGUAAUCGUUUGAGGGCGGAGAAAGUAUCGUCGAAUAUCUUUUCAACGAUUCUAGAUGCUUUCGGAUGAAGUGCAUAUACGUACAAAA
rnacentral:lncRNA from 1 species